UGAGGAAUAUUGGUCAAUGGGCGAGAGCCUGAACCAGCCAAGUCGCGUGAAGGAAGACAGUCCUAAGGAUUGUAAACUUCUUUUAUACGGGAAUAACGGGCGAUACGAGUAUUGCAUUGAAUGUACCGUAAGAAUAAGCAUCGGCUAACUCCGUGCCAGCAGCCGCGGUAAUAUGGAGAAUGCGAGCGUUAUCCGGAUUUAUUGGGUUUAAAGGGUGCGUAGGUUGUUCGGUAAGUCAGCGGUGAAACCUGAGCGCUCAACGUUUAGCCUGCCGUUGAAACUGCCGGGCUUGAGUUCAGUGGCGGCAGGCGGAAUUCGUGGUGUAGCGGUGAAAUGCAUAGAUAUCACGAGGAACUCCGAUUGCGAAGGCAGCUUGCCAUACUGCGACUGACACUGAAGCACGAAGGCGUAGGUAUCAAACAGG
rnacentral:rRNA from 1 species